UUGAACGGAGAGUUUGAUCCUGGCUCAGGAUGAACGCUGGCGGCGUGCUUAACACAUGCAAGUCGAACGAUGAUCCGGUGCUUGCGCCGGGGAUUAGUGGCGAACGGGUGAGUAACACGUGAGUAACCUGCCCUUGACUCUGGGAUAA
rnacentral:rRNA from 1 species